CCUACGGGUGGCAGCAGUGGGGAAUAUUGCACAAUGGGCGCAAGCCUGAUGCAGCCAUGCCGCGUGUGUGAAGAAGGCCUUCGGGUUGUAAAGCACUUUCAGCGGGGAGGAAGGCGUUAAGGUUAAUAACCUUGGCGAUUGACGUUACCCGCAGAAGAAGCACGGGCUAACUCCGUGCCAGCAGCCGCGGUAAUACGGAGGGUGCAAGCGUUAAUCGGAAUUACUGGGCGUAAAGCGCACGCAGGCGGUCUGUCAAGUCGGAUGUGAAAUCCCCGGGCUCAACCUGGGAACUGCAUUCGAAACUGGCAGGCUAGAGUCUUGUAGAGGGGGGUAGAAUUCCAGGUGUAGCGGUGAAAUGCGUAGAGAUCUGGAGGAAUACCGGUGGCGAAGGCGGCCCCCUGGACAAAGACUGACGCUCAGGUGCGAAAGCGCGGGGAGCAAACAGGAUUAGAUACCCGUGUAGUC
rnacentral:rRNA from 1 species